GUGCCUCUCUAUGAAGUUGCUUUCCGCACCACUGCAGAUGUCGCCCUGCUGCAGACUGAGGUGGAAGUUCCUGUUAAGAGCCUACACGAGGAAAUGCACUCCAACACUGAAAAGACCACCAUGAAAGGCAGGAAAAGUCCUGAGUAUGAGAACCUUGUGACUGCAAUGGAAUCACAAUACGAAAUAGAAGGAAUUUAGUAGUGUACCGGCGUUUCUGCAGGAGCAGUCAUGCAAGGCUGCAGCACUGAUCUGCUCUGAGAAGGUCUGGACACCUUCCUCAGAAGAUAAAAACCUGGGAGAAGCUGCAGAGGAAGAGGGCAACRGGAGUUAAGAAAGGGGGUGCAGAUGCUCCAGAUGGACCAGCCCCCACACACUCUAUGUUGUCACUGCCUCUAGUUUGCACAGCAAAAGGACUUUGGUGACAAGUGGCAGAAGAGUGGAAACACAAGAAGCCUGUCUCCAGUGCCAAUGUGGUUGUUUCUCCCUGUGCAGCAAGYGUGUGAUUAUUUCUUUAUUUUACUUUUGGCAUGUUUUGGCAUGUUUGUAGUAAAACCURUUGGCAACAGAACAUUU